AAGAGGAAGAAACACAUUAUAAAUUCUGAUGUGAUUCAUGAUUACCUGAAAUUGCAGGUGCCGCAAUGUUAGCUCCUAUGAUUAAUCCAUAUGAACCGCACAUGACUAAGAGGAGAUUUUAUGUAUUCGUUAGCACUGACUUUUGUUUCUGUAUUGGCAAUAGUGAAGUGGAUUAAUGUCAGCUGGAAAGUGUUGCUAGAGGAAGUGUCAAACAAGAGGCAUACUUCUAUUGUUGAAGUCCACGUACAGUCAGGCAGAAUGUGAAUUAGCAGGAUUUCUUGGUCAUAUACACAUAUGGCAGGGAUUGGACAAUAGAGUGGUCCCACCCUGAAUGACGGAAUACAUAUCACGGGUAUUGCCUUCUAAACGAGCGAGGGCCACUUCUCCUAUUUCUAUUUCUGUGAUGUGUGCCAUAGGAAGAUUUUUUCCACUCUUUUUGGAAUCCCACAAGGUCCCGUUGAACGACAAGAGGAAACUGCAUUCGAGGAAAAUACGCUUUAAAAUCAAAUGAGACAAUUUUGGUUGUCCCAUUUUUAUAGUUUAAGGAACAUUUUGUUUUAUUUUCUGCGUCUAAAUAACACGGUAUAUGUACCAAUGUACCUGAAGUGGGGAAAACAAAAGGUAUGUGGCGUAUUCCUUACGCGUAUCAAAAUACCAACAUCAUGUCAA